GGCCGCCAGGCACAAGGCCUGGCGGCCAAUGGCGCGCGCCUGAGCCCGGGGCACCAGAGGCUACAACGUCAAUCAAAAGGAUUUUAACCCUUUGUUACUCUCCCUACUGGGCUUUGCUUUAGAGAGGAUUUUUCUGCAUUGGGUUUGAUCUACUCUAGUUUAUUUCUUUGGAGGCUGGGGUCUUUGCUGCUUAUUUCCAUUCGCGUGUAAUAGAGCUGCUUUGACACUAAUAAGUUCACUUGAAAUAUAUUUUUAAAAAGGUUUAGAAGGACAGGGAUAAAAGAUUAUAAUUGCAUGGUUAAAAGAAAAAGGGGGAACAUGUGCAAGGGUGUGACUUACAGAAACAUCUAAGUGAUUUCCCGCUCAGACUCCGCACAUUCCGGGGGUGGGGGGUGAAAGUCGACCAUGCAGAAAAAGGACAAAAUUCCUUUCUGCAUGCAGAAAAGGAAAAAGUGCCUCCAUCUUACUUACAUUUGCAGGUUUUUCAGAGCAAAGUGGUUUUUGAUCCCCGCCCUCCACCCCUACCCCAGCCUGUCUCUCAUUUCUGUUACGGAGUUGAGGCCUUGAACCUAGCGCUUCCCCAGGAAACAAUCAGAAUAAUUUCCAACUGAGCAGAAAGGAAAUGGAAUUUCAAAUGAAAGAUGAACAAGGAGGGCUUUGAUGGCAAUGCCUCAGGGACGCGCGCGCGUCCUGGCCACCCUUUCCCUUUCCACCCGUGGGCUCUCAGUUUUGCUGCACAUAGAGGUGGCGAGCCGAGUGGCAGCCGCUCCCUCCUUCUCGCCCCGCGAGCGACCAGGGCAACCUCGACACCCGUCGCGCGCGGGCCCUUUAAGAGCUACACCAGCCGAGCUGCAGUUUGACAUCAGCCGGCCGGCGAGGGCGCGCCUGGAGCCGAAGCACGUGCCAGGAUGUUUUAUUGCCGCCGCGGCUGCGGCCGGGCCGGGAGGAUGUGUGUGUGCGUGCGUGUGUGAGUGUGUGUGCGCGCGCCCCGGGGGCAGGGAGGCGGGGGGCGGCGGCGGGCGGCGGAGCGCGGGGGCUGGUUCCUGGUCCCCGGGAGAAGCCAAGAAGGUCCUGAGUUCAAGAGAAACAGGUGUCUAAACAGAAGUAAAAUCCUGUGGAAGUUUAGGAUAAUUGAAUUACUCGCAAAUUGGAGUAUCCUGGAAAACUUCCUGGAGGAAGUGGCCUGUGCUUUGUAUCAGGAAAAAUAGCCUGGAGUCCAACUAAGGAAUCAUUGUGCUUCUGACCGAAUUUACCUUCCAAGCCUCAUUUCAUCUUCCAGAACAGCCUUCAAGUCUGCAGCCAAACCUGUACCUCAUGGCAGGAUGGAAAAGUGGUGAUGACAGAAAAUUGUCUGUUGCUUUUGGAAAAGAAAGAAAAAAAAAAGUGACGUUUCCCUGUGUUUGACAUCCUCUUCCUUAAAGGUAUCAGAAUGGUGCGUGGGUUUGGUUUGAAGCUAAAGAAAGGAGAAAGAGCCAGAGAAGAAGAAAAAAAGAUUCCCUGCAGCCUGCCAGGGACGUGGUAACUGCCCUGCCAAGAGUGAUCCUGGGAGAGCUAUUGAAAGAGCUCUGAGGCCUCCUUGGCAUAUGGAAGUUCCCAGGCUAGGGGUGGAAUCCGAGCCACAUCCGUGACCUACACCGCAGCUCACGACAACGCUGGAUCAUCAACCCACUGAGUGAGGCCAGAGAUCAAACCCGAGUUUUCCUGCACACCAGUUAGGUUUGUUACCACUGAGCCGCAACAGGAACUCCCAGGAGCUUUAUGAGUGAAUGAAUAAAUGCAUCAUUCCACCCCCACCUCACCGCCGCCACCCCGGGGGAGAGAGUCUACAGCUUUUAGCAGAAUCUCAAAGUUUUUUGUAACGCAGGAAGGUUGAGGAAGCUGAUCCAGGCAAUCUCGAUGUAUAAGUGGGUACUCUAAGGCCCAGAGAGGGCCAGGGACUGGUUCAGGCAACAUAGGGCAGAGUGGGGGCCAGAAGCCAGCUCGGAGUCCUUUGUACCAUUCCCCAGUGCUGUGGAUCUUGGGAAAUUUAGGGUGGGGUUUAUGGAGUUGGGAUCACCGCUAGAACUUGGAUUUAAAAUAGACACUUUAAUAAAGGUCCUUUGAGUCUCCAGAACUUUGUUUUCUUAAUUUGGGGGGUACUUGAGCUGCUCUGCACGCAGCAUUUGGACAGAGAUAGGAUGGGGGAAAGCCAAGUGUCUGCCCAUAGAAGAGGAUUCAGGAAUGCUUGGAGCAAGAGUCCUGGUUGCCAUGCAGAGGCAUUAGAAACGAUCACAACCCUGCAUUCCAUCUUUGAUAAAAACCAAGUUGCUACUUUGGAACAAAACUGCCUAGUUGGUUUCUGGCCAAGCUGGGACCUUGCACUGCAAACUGGGGGCGAGGGCAGAAAACAGAAGCUUUCAACAUUGGCUCAUAGCAGCCUCCCCUGACCCCUCCCCUCCCUGCCCCCCUGAAAACUUGACUAGAGCCAGUGAGACCAAGGGAAAGUGCACUUUCCUAAUGGUCCCUGAACAGGAUGGUUGCCAAGAAGGCCUUUCCUGAUGGGGCGGGGGCAGGGCACCGGAAUGCCUUCACUCCCACAUUUGGCUGGCCCACAGCAGCCUUGGAGGGCAGGGUCUAAACGUGCUGUCAGCUAACCUCUAACCCUCUGAGCAAAACUGCGGGGAGGCCAGCCUGCAAGCCCCAGGUUGAAGGCAGGUGCUCCCGCGAGAUCACAUGCCUGCUGGCUUGCACACUUGUGGUGAAUGACUCGAAACAGUGCUGGGGCUGGUGCCUUUGGGAGCUUCUGGGAAGUUCAGGAAGGUGGGUGAAGCCUUAGCCCCUUUAAACCCAGACCAUGUUUGUGUUUGCUGAUACCUGCUCAAAUUGUGACAUCGGGUCACGUUUCUCAAAAAAUCAAAAACAGAAACAAUUCAGCUAGCCAAGAAAAUCAGUUGGAUAAACCUUAGGACCUGACAUUGAUAUAGGAUGAAUGUAUCUGGCAUCUUUUCAAUUAAGAUUGCCAUCAUUGUUACCUUGCUUAUUAUCCUCAGCCUAUAGGACAAGGAUGGGGGGAGGCAGAGGAUGGGACCUAAGAGGUGGCCGAAUGGGUCCAUUCAUUGAAUGCAUUGGAAAACUGAACCCAGGGAGAAGCGACUGGCCCAAGGUUUAACAACUUCCCCAGAGAGGGAAGAGCAAAGCCAGAAUUAGGCUCAGGUUUUCCACCCACCAGUCCAGUAACCCUCCCCACUGUGUCUAUGAGAAGAACGCUUUGAAAUAUCAUCUGCAGCAAGUGACUAACGUUACCAACAAGAAGGGUUUUCCGGUUAAGAACCGGAGCUACCUGCUGGUAAGUGAGUGUGGCAGUGUGACACACCAUGCCCAGCAUAGAGUGUGGUUAAAGGCCAGGCUUGCUGCACUGUGAUUCCCUUUUGGAUUUGCUGACUACCCUGUAAUCUCUGGAAAAGAAGGAAUCUUGGUUUCCAAGUUCCAGAAGACAGGAAGUCGCUUGCAGAGGCCAUACAGAAUAGCAGAGGGAGAGGUGAGAAAGAAUGGAUUUUCCAAGUGGUAGGUAGAUGCUAUUUGCAUGUGAGCUGUAUAUGUUCCUUUUAAAUAAUCAGGCUUAGGAAACAGGAAGAGACAAUCCUGGCAGCUGUCACAACUGCAGCUUAAGACUCUGGUGGGUUCCAUCAGGUCUGGGAGCUUCUGGUCUCUUUCACAGAGGUACCUGUCCUGCUGCCUUGUAGUAUUUGACGGCUGACAGGCACUUUUUAGUCCAUUACAGCACUUCGUCCUCAUGUGUAGCCUUAUAAUCUUGCCUGGAAGGACUUUGGUGAAAGGCCCAGGGAGGGGAGGGAUGAUUCAGGUGACCAGUUCAGGAGGCUUUUGGCUAGACCCUGGGCUGUUGGGGGCCCAGAACAUAGGCUAGACAAGCUUUCCAGGGGAAAAAAAAAAAAAGUACCUCUAGAGAAACAGGGCAGGGAUCUUAGAGGCCAGGAGAGAACUGACUUUCCUUUCUUGGCCACGGGCAAGAAUAAGAUUUCCAGAAACUGGAGUUCCUGCUGUGGUUCAGCAGGUUAAGGACCUGAUAUUGUCUCCCUGAGGAUGCAGAUACAAUCCCUGGCCUCGUUCAGUGGGUUAAGGAUCUGGCAUUGCCUUAAGUGCAGCAUAGAUCGCAGAUGAGCCUCAGGUACUACGUUGCUAUGACUGUGGUGUAGGCCAGCAGCUGUAGCUCUGAUUGGACCCCUAGCCUGGGAACUUCCAUAUGCUGCAGGCGUGGUCCUAAAAAUUAAAAAAAAAAAAAUUGUUUUUCAGAAACUGGAACAGAGGGGAAAUGGCAAUGAUUGUCAGUUUGAUACAGUGCAUCCGUGAGCCAGAGGGCACAUCUUUGGUGAGGAGCAAGGAGGAAGGGUACUUUCUUGUGGCAGCAUGCCAGGGUUGAGGAGGAGAGGGAAAGGAAGCCCAGUUAGCAAGAAGAUGACUGAGCAGCCUCUGGAACGGACACAGGAAGGUGAUGACCAUGGUUUUCACGGGGCUGAGGCUGAGCUGCUUAGCUCAGCAUCCAGGACCUUCUGAGAGGCUUUCGGGAAAAUCUCGGAAGGGAGACAGGUCUGUGACUGAGGGCCCUUUAGAACUCUGGAAGCUACAUCGCUUUCCUCACAAGCUAUUUGUUCCAUGCUGUUUGUAUUGCUGUGAUCAUAGCAUAAGAUCCCACAGACUGGAAAAAGUUGUGGGAUUGUUUGGGGUGGUGACAGUGAAGGGGGGCAGCAGGGAGACUGUAUCCUGCUCUAUAACCAGUCUGAGGGGUGGCAGUCCUGGAGACGAGGCAUCAGGUGACCCAGAACAAAGUGGGGGGCAAGCGCAUCAACUCCUCAUAGCGCUACAGAAAGGACCAAGUUUCAUCUCCAGCUCCCUGGCUGUGUGGGCAAAUGCCCACAGGUUGCAGCACAUCCUGGGUCCCCUCAGCUCUGCGGGAGGCAUUAUGGGAAGUAGGGAAAAGGAUGUUCUCCUUUUGCAGGGUUGGGCUUCUGCAGGCCCCUUGGCUGAAAUCCGAGAGGAGCCUGGAUGGAGUGUCGGUUGGCACCCCCUUGCUGGUCCGCAGAGGUCUCUCCAUAGAGUCCCAGAGUGUGGCUGGCUCCUGGAGCAAAUUGCCAAGCUGUGCAGGCCUCAGCCAUGUAGCCAGCUUGUGGCCUUUAUCUCUCCAGGCUCCCCCAAUUGCACUGGGACCCGGGAUUCAUGUUCAAGUAUUUGAGCUGCUUGCUCAGGGUGGAGGGUGCUCUUCGACUGUUUACCCCCUCCUCACCUGCCCUCCGAGUCCUGGCAGCCAGGUCAGGGCUGGACUUGGUGUCUAGAACUCCAGGUCACCUUGAUGGAGGGUGGAGUCCCACCUGUCCUCUCUGUAUAGAGCUAACCUGUGUGGAUGGUAGACAGACAGUCUGGUCAGGAGUUCGAACUGUCCAAUCUCCAUUUGCCUGUCUAACUUAACUCAGGUCAGGGACUAUUUGUGAGCACCUGCUCUGCGGAGGACAGACCCGCACAGCUAUUUUGGCAGUUACUUUCAUCCCUGCUUGCUGUUCAGAUGCUAUUCUUCAUCUGAGCAGAGCGGUAACAUCCCAGGUUUAUAUGAUAAAAAUUGCAUUUUCACUCCGCACAUUCUUCACCUCUAUUACUUCUCUGAUAAAGAAGCAAAGAAACUCCUAUAUGAACAUCUGGUGCCAUAUCUUUCCCAGAGUGGGCACCCCCAAGUAUUUGUGGAAUAAAUGCAUGAAUGAACUUCGACGUAAAGAAAUGUCUUACUGGUGAUGCAAUGGACCCCAGAGAGGGUCAGUGUGUUUUUCCCAAUUUUCCUUGGUUGCCGAGUCCAGGGGGUGGAUUGACUUUGACGACACUGGGCAAACUGGCUCUGAGCAGCCAGGACACUCCUGCGGACAGCUCUCCUCUGUUGCAAUCCGGUGAACUGAGAGGAGUCUGGGGCUGUCCGUGUUUUCCCAGGCCUAUCUUUAUUGAUGGUUAUUAAAGACACACCACCACAUGGCAAUACGAAAGUACAAAGCAAUUCCCAGGGUAAGGUACGUGGGAAGAAGGGAGAUAUUGAGCUCCCAAACAAUUCUACUGUAAUCGCGGUCUGCCCUAUCUACCCAUAGUUAAUAAGUAAGAUUUAAGCAGGCAGGUUCCACCACUGGGCAGCAGAGGGAAAGGAAAGAGGCCACAGGAGAGAUCACCGGUCCUUCUGGAAAACUGGGAAAGCAAAUGAGGAGGCUGCAUGGGAAAGGGAUUGGGUUGAUGGAAGAAGACCCCCAUCUGCAGUCUAAUUGGGCUGUGGGUAGGAAACAAAGACCUGGCACAUUUGGGGGGUCAAAUCUGGCUGCCACGUGCCCCCCACCAUUGCCUCUGGAUCUCCGGGCUCUUCUAUCAGCCUGCUUUGUGUGACAUGUCUUGGUGCACGUGCAUCUCCCAUGUCGUCUUCCUGAGAUUGAACGUGGUGCCUUCAUCUCUGAAUGCUCCUCGCCCAAAGCGCACCACAGAGGACACAGGCUCAGGGAGGCAUGGCUCUUGGCCAGCGCGCAGAAGACAGAGGUCCAGACACCACCGAGGCCCAGUGAUACAUCUGGGAGAAGCGGCUCCCCAGGCCAGCAGACUUUCAGCUUGACCUGAGGGCUGAGCUCGAACCAGCUUACCCCGUGCGUAUACACCAGGCCUGACUGCAGCCCCGUGAUGGGGAGGGGAAGGGCCCCUGGGCAGGGCUCCUCAGACUGGGAGGAGAGAGGCCCAGGGGAUGUUCAGACUCCAUUUGCAGAGCUAAGAAGCCAAAGGCAAGGACUUUGUCUUGCUUGUUUGGGACAGCGCCCGUAGGUCUCGAGUAAAUAUUUAACUAAACUUGCAAAUAAGUGUUAUCUGUCUCUGGCAAGGACAUUGGGGCAAAAGGCUUUCUGUACCUCUGCCCUUGGUAUUAGUGUUUAUUCUCUUAACAGCAAGAGAGGCUCUUUCCUUUUCGCUGGCCCUGUUUUAGUUGUCUGUGGAUGUAGGUGGCCAACGUGUAAAAGCUGUGACUCCAGGGUGGGUGUUGCUCUUGGUGGAGCUUCAUUAUAAAUUGGAAAGAGCGUGAUGCAGAAAUACCCUGAGAGUAGCAGCCAGGUUGCGCUGGAUUCCAAUCUGGGCUCCUCCACUGAUGAACUGUGAUGCCAAGGAAAGGAACUUCACCGCUUCACGCCUCAAUGUCCCCCUCCAGUCCUUCUCAAGUGACCUGCCCUCCUUGCUGGGUCUUGAGGACCGAAGGACACAGCGCAGUGACAGCUGCCGUGCGGGCGGGCUGGCUGACUCGGAACCUGCAAGUGGCCCAGCCCUCAGGGGUCUAGAAAUGGAAACUCCGAAGGCUUUCAGUUCACAAGACCAUUUCAAUGUCAGAGCUGAGGCGAGCAAAGGAACUCGCGUCAACCCUUCAUCAGCCAGGAAAGGAAACUGCAGCCAGGAACGCCCCACCCUGCGGGGCCCCUGUGGCCGCCACGCCUGUCCUCAGACCCACACAAACACCACCGAAGAGGGAGCCCCAGUGCCCUCAGGUUUCCUGGACCUAUUCUCAGCACCCACCCUCCCUCCACCUGACCUGGCCUUUGUUUUCCUAGCCCCGGUCGCGUUGCCUUUUGGACUUGAUCCUUGCCAGGUUCUUGCUGUGGCCUUGAAUCCAGUUAAAAGUGCGGCGCUCUCACAGCUGGUGCAUUGGUUCUGCUGCCUCUGGCACACACGCCUCCCUUUUCAGUGGGGCCAGGAGUACCGUGCGUCAGAAGAAUGUUCCCCAGUCUCCUGGGGGCUGGCUUAGUUUCCGGGGUUGCAUUUCCUUUCUCUCUCUCUCUUUCUCUCACUCGCUCGCUCUUGUAUUUUUUUAUAGCUGUGGGGAGCAGUAUUUAAGGACUUUUUGGGUGAACAUGCCAUAUGCCUUCUUUAUCGAGCAGUAGGAAUCAGCAGGAGGAUAAAGGAUGCUCUUAAAGUGACAGGAAGAAAUCAAAAGGGCUCUCAGCCUCCCCGUCAGGGGGAAAAUUCUAAGCAAGUUCCUGCCAUCGAUGACCGAAUCUGCAUCCUCUAGAUGCUAUGGGGUGUCCUGAAACAUUCAUUUCCCUGCUCUGAGCCUUCGUUUCCUUUUCGGUGAAGUGAAAACAACACUCCAAUCUUGGCAAUGUCGUCAGGUUGCUCCCUGGACCAGAGCAGAUACUGGUUGAGGAAGUACUUGGGACGCUUGGGAAGCCCUGUGACCUUGACACAGGGCACCCAUGUCGGUUCUCAGCCCCAUCUGGGUUGGGAUCUGUGUAUCCUCCUCUGGGUCCAUCAGUCCUGGUUGUGUUCAGCCGCCCCCUGCAGAGGCUUCUCCGUUUCCAGGAUGAGAGAACAGCAGCCGUGAGUUCCAUCUGCUCCUUCUUUCAGGCUCUUCUCCCAGAUGAGUGUGACUUGUGGGUGGCAAGGAAGCUUAAGGGGGUAUCAAGAGUUACUUUUCUGGGAGUCUCCAGGUAGGAUCUCCCCUGGCAAAGAUGCCUGAACUGAGGACCCUAAUUCCCAUCACCCCCAGUUAGAGGUGGCAGAGUAGUGUCCAGAGACAUUACUGCGGGGGCAGACGUUGUAGGCAGGAAAAAACAUCAUAAAGGGCAGCCUUUUCCUAUUGCCUAGGCAGUAACCUGGACACCAGUGGCAUCUGCAUAAGGCAUUUACGCUCACCGUGAACGAACCAGGAGAAAUGUCAGUAACUUCCUUAGAGAAAGCACUAUCCAUCUGGAAGUAUUUACUCAUUCAUUCAUUUGGUCGUUUAUUCAGACAUCUGUGGAUUCUUCCACUGUGAAAUAUUUAUCAAAUACUUACUGUGUAUCAGAGCUGUACUGAAUCCUACACCCUUUGGGUCUCAUUAUUAGUCAGGAUAAGUUAGGUAAUGCUGUGGUAACAAAUAACCCCAAAUCUCAGUGGUUGGAAUCAACACAAGUUUAUUUCUUACUGGCAGUACAUUCUCAUUAUAGCUCUUUGGGGGCUGUUCAGGGUUCAGGGUUGCCCACCCCAUGGGUGCCCCACCCUCUUCUGAUGCCACGAUUUCGGCAUGAAUCCUUAGGGUUCACUGCAGCAGGGCGAGAGAGCAGGCACCAACUUCUAAGUGAUUCUGUCUAGAAGUGACACACAUCACUUCUGCUCAUGUUUCACUGGCCAGAGGAUGCCAGGUUGCCAUACCUAACUUCAAGCACAGAGUGAAGAAGUGUAAUCUUCCCUGGGCCAGAAAAGAGAGGAAAUGUGGAAAUAAUAUGAAUGCUGCUCAUUUCUACCACAUUGCUAACCCCCGCCGCAACCCUGGACAUGGUUAUUAUUCUGAUUUUACCUAUGAAGAAACUGAGGAUAAGAAAGAGAUGUAGGAUUUGACCUUGGGACCAUCUGGCUUCAAAGCCUUUGCGGGUUCCUUUCUAUCAUCCUGACACACACACACACACAAUCGGCAGGUAGAAAAUUUCAGCUGGUGGGCCAGAGAAGAAUGUAGUUUUCAUGUAGUUUUCAAGGAGGGAGAGGUUAGUUUCAGUUGGGGAAGUCCAGGAAGCCUUCCUUGAGGAGGUGACUUUUUGCCUCCAGAUUGGAAGGAAUGGACUAUAUUUGGACCUUCAGAGAUAUUGAUUCUUUCAAUCAGAUAUUCAUUCUGUGUGCUACGCUCCCAUCUGGCAAUCUUUACAAAAUCCAUUUAGUUCACACCCUGAGAUUAGUUCACCGUCAUUCCUCACCAGAGAAGUCCUAGAGUGAUGGGAAUGGGAGGGGAAGGAGUUCUGAAUGGAUUUUGACUCAGGAACUUUCCUGGAACAGGCCUUGGGGAGAGAUCGGAUGCAGUGGUUCCAUGAAGAACUAGAAUUUACGGCGGAUUUAUGGCAGCCGCCCGCCCUCCCUCCCUCUCUCCCUUAGGCCUGCUCCCUGCCCAGGGCAGGGCUGAGGGCUGGGGCAGGGGAGGAGCAGCCAACUCUGACACAGUUUUUGGCUCCCCUGGGAGUCUCUGUGUUUGGUGAUGGGAAGGAUAAAGUUGCAGGGCCUCAGGGUCCCCGUGUUUGCCUAGAAACUCAAGAUGAAGCCCCCAGUAUGAGGCCGAGUGACCCAUUGAGGGGUGUUUGUAACUGGAGUAAAAGAAAAUAACCCAGCCAUCCGGGGCU